ACGGGAGGCAGCAGUGGGGAAUAUUGGGCAAUGGGCGCAAGCCUGACCCAGCAACGCCGCGUGAGGGAUGAAGGUUUUCGGAUUGUAAACCUCUGUCCUUGGUGACGAACGCAAUGACGGUAGCCAAGGAGGAAGCCCCGGCUAACCACGUGCCAGCAGCCGCGGUAAUACGUAGGUGGCAAGCGUUGUCCGGAAUUACUGGGUGUAAAGGGAGCGCAGGCGGGAAAUCAAGUUGGAUGUGAAAUGUCGGGGCUUAACCCCGGAACUGCAUCCAAAACUGAUUUUCUUGAGUGAAGUAGAGGUAGGCGGAAUUCCGAGUGUAGCGGUGAAAUGCGUAGAUAUUCGGAGGAACACCAGUGGCGAAGGCGGCCUACUGGGCUUUAACUGACGCUGAGGCUCGAAAGUGUGGGGAGCAAACAGGAUUAGAUACCCUGGUA
rnacentral:rRNA from 1 species